AUUGAACGCUGGCGGCAUGCCUUACACAUGCAAGUCGAACGGCAGCACGGGUGCUUGCACCUGGUGGCGAGUGGCGAACGGGUGAGUAAUACAUCGGAACAUGUCCUGUAGUGGGGGAUAGCCCGGCGAAAGCCGGAUUAAUACCGCAUACGAUCUACGGAUGAAAGCGGGGGACCUUCGGGGCUCGCGCUGUUGGGUUGGCAGAUGGCUGAUUAGCUAGUUGGUGGGGUAAAGGCCUACCAAGGCGACGAUCAGUAGCUGGUCUGAGAGGACGACCAGCCGCACUGGGACUGAGACACGGCCCAGACUCCUACGGGAGGCAGCAGUGGGGAAUGUUGGACAAAGGGCGAAAGCCUGAUCCAGCAAUGCCGCGUGUGUGAAGAAGGCCUUCGGGUUGUAAAGCACGUUUGUGCGGAGAGAAAUGCUUGGCCCUAAUACGGUCGGGGGAUGACGGUACCGGAAGAAUAAGCACCGGCUAACUACGUG
rnacentral:rRNA from 1 species